GAAAUGCGAUAAGUAGUGUGAAUUGCAGAAUUCAGUGAAUCAUCGAAUCUUUGAACGCACAUUGCGCCCGCCAGUAUUCUGGCGGGCAUGCCUGUUCGAGCGUCAUUUCAACCAUCAAGCCCCGGGCUUGUGUUGGGGACCUGCGGCUGCCGCAGGCCCUGAAAUGCAGUGGCGGGCUCGCUGUCACUCCGAGCGUAGUAGUUACAUCUCGCUCUGGGCGUGCUGCGGGUUCCGGCCGUUAAAAGCCUUAUUUACCCAAGGUUGACCUCGGAUCAGGUAGGAAGACCCGCUGAACUUAA
rnacentral:misc_RNA from 1 species